rnacentral:lncRNA from 1 species
GCCUUGAGAACUCUGGUCUAUGAUUUUUCAGUGCAUUUCACACAAAAUCAUCUAGGCAAAUUCAGAUGUGUCCUGACCAUUCACUUGUUUCUGCACACGAAAGCUGAUCAAAUAUCUGGUUUUCCUUUAAUUUUGCAAAUGAAAAUGUUCUAAUUUAUUAGUAUGGAAGGAAACAAAGAAGGAGUCCAUGGAAUGUUUUUUAUAUCACCUUGAAGAAAUUGUCAUACACCAUCUGCUGGUUUAUUGAGCAUACAAAAUGGCAAUGUUGAUGAAUUCUUCCUUAGUAAAUGAUACAUAUUGACAUAACCACCAGCCAUAUCCUAAUGACCAGCAGCAUGCCAAGGUGCUUUGAAAUACAUCCAGCUUAAAUUAUCCAUAGGUCUUUUGUAUUUGUGAAGUGACUAAUACUCUAAAUAAUCUAUUUUGGUUAGUGCUGUGCUUCAUUUAUCCAUGCUAGUAAAUGUGUCUUUCAAAGCUCACAAAUGAGAUGCUUAACAGUCUGCCCCAUCUUCAUUGUCCUUGUGGGUUGUCAUCUGAGAAUUUUCACCCUGUUAAGAAGGUACAGGCUGAAAAAAGGUCAGUCUAGUUGAAUGUCAAAAAUAAUUUAGAAUCUAUUCUAUUUUAUUCUUCGGAUUUACUAACAUGAACGUGGGAAGAAAUUACAACUAUAGCCUAGAAAUGAUAAUUAUUCCAUAAGUCACUAAAGAUCCAAGUUUAGUAAAGAUCAGUGACUCCCAAACAAGGAGGAAAUUCAAAACAAUUUCUUAAACAGAAGAAGUUGGGAAUCUAAAUAUGGAUGAUGAGGAGAGAGAGAGAGAGAGAGGGGGAGAGAGGUUGCUGAUGCAAUUAAUAAAUAAUUUUUUAAAUUGAGCAAGGAAGCUUUUAUGAAUCACGGAAUAAAUCAUGGAAUUACGGAAUCAUGGGGAAAAAUCAUGGAAUGCAUCAGAAUCUCAAUUCUACAACUUAGUUUAUGGAGAUGUAGGCUGAAAGACUUAAAAGAAAAUAAAAACAUUCUGUCGAUCAUUGGAUGCCUAGCAUCUUAGUAUUACUUCAUAAUUGGAGAUAUUAGAGAGGGUUCUGUUCAAGAAUUAAAAUCACCAUAAGUACUUCCAGCAGGAAAAAAAUCAAAGCAAAGAAUUUUAUAAAAUUCUUGAAAGAACUGGAGGUGUGGGUUGAUCUGAGCCUCUAGACCUGACUUCUGUCAGAAUCAGAGAGUCAGAGAAUUAGGAAUCACUGAUGAAACUACUGAAUUAAACAAACAAACAAACAAAAAAAGCCACCACUGCUGUGUUCAAGAUAAAAAAAGUCACUGCCAGAGCAAUGCCACAGCUCCCAAAAAACUGGCUCUGGAACACUGGCCCCCAGGGGACCAGCUGCCUCCUUCAGGGCAAUUCCCUCCUGACACCAUUAAUUCUGCUUCUCAAGUGGGCCUGCCAGCAGAACACAGCAUAAAUCAAGCAGGCAAUGUCUCCAGCUCACUUCCACCUUCCUGGGGUCUGCCAACUAUGUGGGGGGAGCUUAUUUAAAAUACACAAUCAUGGAUGCCAGAAAACCUGGGUGGUCUUUCAGUCCUUGCCAUGCAAAAAGCCCCAUUGGAAAGAAACGAGGAUGGAUACCAAUUUUACACCAAUUACCAGAUUCAGUAUAUCUACAAAGUGUUUCCAUGGUCAGAGUGAUAUGCACUCCUCAUAAAAACCUAUUGAUAUAGAAAGUGCUAUAAACAUUUAAGGGGGAGGUGAUGUACCAUGUGAAAUUGUUCCAUCUCUAAAUUACAGAUGGAAUAAGGUGGUGGGAGAAGUAACUUCAUACCUCAGACUUGCUUUUGAACUCCUCCCCAUUGAUGCCACACUCCCUCUACUGGGGUUUGCUGAGUCCGAAAGCCAUUAUCUGUAUCUUGAUUGCCUAACAUCCAUAAAAGAAAGAUGUAUUUAGUUAAAACUUAAAGGAGAAAGAUCAUCUGGUGAAAAAUAAUAUAUACCUCUAUAAUAAAUAGGAAGAAAUGAUGUUCUGAAAUUGGGUAAGAGAGUACCCAUAUUGAAUCAAAGAAAUGAACUGCCCCAAAUUGGCUAUCCAAAGAAAUAGUUGUAUACCAAAAAUCCUGACAUAUGGGGGAAUGUUCACUUAAUAGUAGUUUUAAAUGGCAGAGGUAGGUUAUAAAACACUGUACAAUAUUUAGAAAAGAAAAGUUUAUGAAAACUAUAUCAAAAUUAAAUAGCUCUCUAUGGAUAAUGGUAAUUUGAGUGUCUUUAUUUCUUUGAGAUUCUUCCUCCUUUUCAUUAUUAAAUAAAAACAAAACCCUAUACAUUUGAAACAUUGAAAUUUAUCUUAUAUACUUAGACAUGGAUGACUUUAUUUUUUGUUCCAAUAAACUAGAGCUAGGAUAACACAUUUUUCCUUCUGGGACCUUGAAAAAUGACACACACACACACACUCACAUUCAUACACACCCACUCACUCAUAUAAACAGCUCUGGUUCAGAUAAUGUGAUUUUUUUAAAAGCAUGUCAACUUGGUUGUGAAUUAUUAUACCACUAAGAUAUAAUUAGCCAAUCAUUUAUUUCCUUCAUGAGUUUACUGAAAACUAAUAAUGGCAUUUCUCGAAUGACCUUUCAGAUGUCACCUCUGAACCAUAGCAUACUAUGCUCUGCAUCACGUUAUUGAUACCCUAGUACUGAACUGAACUUCAAUUUGAGGAGGUAAAACAUGUUGAAGAAAUAAGCAAAUACUGUACAUAAAGGUAAACCUAAUAUCCAUGGAUAAUUUAUAGCUUCCUACGUCAAAUGUUGAUGGAAAGCACUUGAGAGUGUGGAUUAAGCCGAGAUGAAAUUUCAAGGGGAUAGAAUAGGGAUUAGCUGCUACUGUUUUGGAAUCUCAGGCCUACAGAAUGCUAGAUUGCUCCACUCAAUAUUCUAGCUCAACAGAUUUCAUAGUUAUUAGUUCCACUCACCCCAAUAGCCUCUGUCAUCUCUGUAGCAUCUCCAUGUCUGUUCUCCAUCUGUUCACUUUUUCUCCCCAAAAUAUAUUCUGAUCUCUUUCAGGAAUAAUUCUUGUGUUCUCCCA